CGGGUGGAACAAGCACGGUUGUGUGU
rnacentral:piRNA from 1 species